ACAGCUGGCGGGUGCUACACAUGCAGUCGAACGAGAAGUGGAGCAUCCAUGAGUAAAGUGGCGCACGGGUGAGUACACGUGACUAACCUACCCUUGAGUGGGGAAUAACUUCGGGAAACCGAGGCUAAUACCGCAUAAUACCUACGGGUCAAAGGAGCAAUUCGCUUAAGGAGGGGGUCGCGGCAGAUUAGUUAGUUGGCGGGGUAAUGGCCCACCAAGACAGUGAUCUGUAUCCGGCCUGAGAGGGCGCACGGACACACUGGAACUGAAACACGGUCCAGACUCCUACGGGAGGCAGCAGUGGGGAAUUUUGCGCAAUGGGGGAAACCCUGACGCAGCAACGCCGCGUGGAGGAUGAAGCCCCUUGGGGCGUAAACUCCUUUCGAUCGGGAAGAUAAUGACGGUACCGGAAGAAGAAGCCCCGGCUAACUUCGUGCCAAGCAGCCGCGGUAAUACGAGGGGGGCGAGCGUUGUUCGGAAUUAUUGGGCGUAAAGGGCGCGUAGGCGGUUGGACAAGUCUUGUGUGAAAUCUUCAGGCUCAACCUGAAGUCUGCAUAGGAAACUGUCCGGCUUGAGUGUGGGAGAGGUGCGUGGGAAUUCCCGGGGUGUAACCAGGUGAAAUGCGUAGAUAUCGGGAGGAACACCUGUGGGAAAAGCGGGCACUGGAGCACAACUGAGCGCUAGGCGCGAAAGCUAGGGGAGGCCAAACAGGGAUUCAGAUUACCCCUUGGUAAUCCUAGCCUUAACGAUGGAUUGCUUGGUGUGACCGGGU
rnacentral:rRNA from 1 species